rnacentral:rRNA from 1 species
UACAGAGACCUCAAGCGUUAUCCGGAAUCAUUGGGCGUAAAGCGUACCGAUAGGUGGUCGACUGAUAGUUUUGGGUAAAAGCCUGGGAGCUCAACUCCAGAGUUUGCUCAAAAAUACUUCACGACUAGAGGGGCAAAUAGGAAGCUGGAACGAACGGUGUAGUAGUGAAAUGCGUUGAUAGUCGUUCGGGAACACCGAAAGCGAAGG